CCCCCACGUUCGGAUUGCAGGCUGAAAUUCGCCUGUAUGAAGCCGGAAUUGCUAGUAAUGGCAGGUCAGCAUACUGCCGUGAAUACGUUCCCGGGCCUUGUACACACCGCCCGUCACACCAUGAGAGUCGGGAACACCCGAAGUCCGUAGUCUAACCGCAAGGAGGGCGCGGCCGAAGGUGGGUCCGGUAAUUGGGGUGAAGUCGUAACAAGGUAGC
rnacentral:rRNA from 1 species